UUUGUAUAAUGGGUCAGCGACUUAUAUUCAGUGGCAAGGUUAACCAUCUAGGGGAGCCGUAGGGAAACCGAGUCUUAACUGGGCGUUCAGUCUCUGGAUAUAGACCCGAAACCAGGUGAUCUAGCCAUGGGCAGGUUGAAGGUUGAGUAACAUCAACUGGAGGACCGAACCGACUAAUGUUGAAAAAUUAGCGGAUGACUUGUGGCUAGGGGUGAAAGGCCAAUCAAACCUGGAGAUAGCUGGUUCUCCCCGAAAGCUAUUUAGGUAGCGCCUCGGACGAAUACUACUGGGGGUAGAGCACUGUUAAGGCUAGGGGGUCAUCCCGACUUACCAACCCUUUGCAAACUCCGAAUACCAGUAAGUACUAUCCGGGAGACACACGGCGGGUGCUAACGUCCGUCGUGGAGAGGGAAACAACCCAGACCGCCAGCUAAGGUCCCAAAUUACUACUAAGUGGGAAACGAUGUGGGAAGGCUCAGACAGCCAGGAUGUUGGCUUAGAAGCAGCCAUCAUUUAAAGAAAGCGUAAUAGCUCACUGGUCGAGUCGGCCUGCGCGGAAGAUGUAACGGGGCUAAGUAGUAAACCGAAGCUGCGGCAAUAUACUUUUGUAUAUUGGGUAGGGGAGCGUUCUGUAAGCGGUUGAAGGUGUGUGGUAACGCAUGCUGGACGUAUCAGAAGUGCGAAUGCUGACAUGAGUAACGAUAAAGGGGGUGAAAAACCUCCUCGCCGGAAGACCAAGGGUUCCUGUCCAACGUUAAUCGGGGCAGGGUAAGUCGACCCCUAAGGCGAGGCCGAAAGGCGUAGUCGAUGGGAAACGGGUUAAUAUUCCCGUACUUCUUACAAUUGCGAUGGGGGGACGGAGAAGGCUAGGUGGGCCUGGCGACGGUUGUCCAGGUUCAAGUGCGUAGGCUUAAGAGUUAGGUAAAUCCGGCUCUUUUUAAGGCUGAGACACGACGUCGAGCACCUACGGGUGUGAAGUCAUUGAUGCCAUGCUUCCAGGAAAAGCCUCUAAGCUUCAGAUUGUAAGGAAUCGUACCCCAAACCGACACAGGUGGUCGGGUAGAGAAUACCAAGGCGCUUGAGAGAACUCGGGUGAAGGAACUAGGCAAAAUGGUACCGUAACUUCGGGAGAAGGUACGCUCUUGAUGGUGAAGUCCCUUGCGGAUGGAGCUGACGAGAGUCGCAGAUACCAGGUGGCUGCAACUGUUUAUUAAAAACACAGCACUGUGCAAAAUCGUAAGAUGACGUAUACGGUGUGACGCCUGCCCGGUGCCGGAAGGUUAAUUGAUGGGGUUAGACUUCGGUCGAAGCUCUUGAUCGAAGCCCCGGUAAACGGCGGCCGUAACUAUAACGGUCCUAAGGUAGCGAAAUUCCUUGUCGGGUAAGUUCCGACCUGCACGAAUGGCGUAAUGAUGGCCACGCUGUCUCCACCCGAGACUCAGUGAAAUUGAAAUCGCUGUGAAGAUGCAGUGUACCCGCGGCUAGACGGAAAGACCCCGUGAACCUUUACUACAGCUUGGCACUGAACAUUGACCCUACAUGUGUAGGAUAGGUGGGAGGCUUUGAAGCACGUACGCCAGUAUGUGUGGAGCCGUCCUUGAAAUACCACCCUUGUAGUGUUGAUGUUCUAACGUCGACCCCUAAUCGGGGUUGCGGACAGUGCCUGGUGGGUAGUUUGACUGGGGCGGUCUCCUCCCAAAGAGUAACGGAGGAGCACGAAGGUGGGCUAAUCACGGUUGGACAUCGUGAGGUUAGUGCAAUGGCAUAAGCCCGCUUGACUGCGAGAAUGACAAUUCGAGCAGGUGCGAAAGCAGGUCAUAGUGAUCCGGUGGUUCUGAAUGGAAGGGCCAUCGCUCAACGGAUAAAAGGUACUCCGGGGAUAACAGGCUGAUACCGCCCAAGAGUUCAUAUCGACGGCGGUGUUUGGCACCUCGAUGUCGGCUCAUCACAUCCUGGGGCUGAAGUCGGUCCCAAGGGUAUGGCUGUUCGCCAUUUAAAGUGGUACGCGAGCUGGGUUUAGAACGUCGUGAGACAGUUCGGUCCCUAUCUGCCGUGGGCGUUGGAAGAUUGAAGGGGGCUGCUCCUAGUACGAGAGGACCGGAGUGGACGAACCUCUGGUGUUCGGGUUGUGUCGCCAGACGCAUUGCCCGGUAGCUAAGUUCGGAAUCGAUAACCGCUGAAAGCAUCUAAGCGGGAAGCGAGCCCUGAGAUGAGUCUUCCCUGAUACUUUAAGUAUCCUAAAGGGUUGUCGGAGACUACGACGUUGAUAGGUCAGGUGUGUAAGUGCUGUGAGGCAUUGAGCUAACUGAUACUAAUUGCCCGUGAGGCUUAACCAUACAACAC
rnacentral:rRNA from 1 species